GUACGUCCACCAGGUGGCAGUAAAGCGUCAAAGGAGCGAGUGACCAAUGAACAAGAAGAAGAGCGAAGCCUGUUAGUGUGGAGGCGCUGUUAGGCCCUGCUGCCUCGAUCAGAUGAUCAGUGAUCCUGGAGCUCCUGCUGAUCUGGUGAGAUCCUCCUCUGUCUCUGUCCGUCUGAGCUGCGAAUCGUUCUCGCCUGUCGGGUCUGUCAGUGGUCUGAUCAGGGCUGGACAUUCGCUAGAUCAACAGGCCAGUCGAGACUCUUCAGAUCAGGCUGUCGUGCUUCAUCUGUGCUCGUCCUGCACCGCUGGCCACAGUGUUCAUGAGUAACUCUAAUAUCACAGUGUUUCACUGCACAAUUCACCUCUUUUAUCAGCUUUAGUCUCUCAGGUGUGUUAGACAGGUGACGUGUGCAGUGAUGUGGAUCUUUACUGGAUUUACUAUGGUAAAGCUGAAAUAACUUUCUUUCAGCAGGUCAUCAGGAGCUCAUCAACGACUGGUCGAAUGAGCUGAAGAUCUGAAGAGACGUUCAGAACAUCAGUGGAGAUGCUUUGGGAAGUUUUAAUGCACUUAUACAUGUUUCUUUACUUUACUAUAAAUCAUACACAAAAUUAUGCAAUACAUGUACAAUAUUUUGGGAAGAACGUCAUUCAGACGAGGAUGAAGGAAUGUUGUCACACGAGCUGACGCUGAAUCUCCAACACUUCAAUCCUCUUCAUGACCGUUUCUAGUGUUGUUCUGUUAAGAAAGUUAAUUUUUGACAUUAAAUAUUCACUAAUAAUGAUCUGACUGCACUGACGCUAUCAAACUGAACAGAACUUGAUCUGAAUAAUGACUCCCUUGUCUUCUGUAGAGCUGCUUUACUCCUGAAUCUGAAUUUGUCUCAUAUUUGAUGAAGUUUGCAUCAUUUAUUCUGUUCAUUACUGUGAAACAAUCUGUACUGUAUAAAGCACUGUAGAAAUAAAGCUGACUUUAAAUACA